CCUACGGGUGGCAGCAGUGAGGAAUAUUGGUCAAUGGACGAGAGUCUGAACCAGCCAAGUCGCGUGAAGGAUGACUGCCCUAAGGGUUGUAAACUUCUUUUAUAUGGGAAUAAAAUGUUCCACGUGUGGGAUUUUGUAUGUACCAUAUGAAUAAGGAUCGGCUAACUCCGUGCCAGCAGCCGCGGUAAUACGGAGGAUCCGAGCGUUAUCCGGAUUUAUUGGGUUUAAAGGGUGCGUAGGUGGAUUGUUAAGUCAGUUGUGAAAGUUUGCGGCUCAACCGUAAAAGUGCAGUUGAAACUGGCAGUCUUGAGUUCAGGAGAGGUGGGCGGAAUGCGUGGUGUAGCGGUGAAAUGCUUAGAUAUCACGAAGAACUCCGAUUGCGAAGGCAGUUCACUGGACUGCAACUGACACUGAGGCUCGAAAGUGUGGGUAUCAAACAGGAUUAGAUACCCGUGUAGUC
rnacentral:rRNA from 1 species